CUUCUCACAUCAAUACUGGCAUUUAUAUAGUUUGUGGUCGUUUGUAUGGGAAUAUAUCUGCUAUUGUGGUGCGAGGGUUCUAUUAGGAUUGCUUCUAAGUGUCAGUGCGAUGGAAGCGAUACAAACUGACUAAAAUGGCUUUAGUAUAUUCAUAUUUCAAGCAUAAAGAUGGCUUUAAAACAGUGUGAGGAAGAAGCGAGCAAGGUUGCUGUUUGUAUUUGAAUGACAAAGGUCUGGCCGCCAAUGCAAUUCAAAACGUGUGGUUCACAGCGUCAAUGCUUUAGAAUUAGUUCGCCUGUAACUUCAAAGAUGUGAUAAACGUCGAAAGGAAUAAGGUGAGUUAUUAUAAUAAUGCGAGAAUUAUAAUUAUUGUUGUCUGCGAUUGUCGUAUUUAUACAUUACGACCGCCAUUAUGCUGAGGCUACUCUCAUUGCCAUUGCAGUCUCAGUUAAGAAAACUUGCGCGCGUUUUGAUUUACAAGUACUGUAGUUUUGUCUGAUUUAUCUUGCGUUUACUGCUUUCAUUUCAAUUAUAAAGACAAGUAUUUUAGAACCUGAGAUGGAAAAUCGGGAAAUGGCUGUUAUCAUAUACAUAUAGGAAUGCAAGAUUUUGUGCAUUCUAUUCAAAUUACGCACAACAACACAGACCAACAAUACUUUAUUCAUUAAAUUUCAAUGGCAAACUGAAACGGUAAUGUUUUAUAUUGAUUACUGAACGAUGGAAUUUAUUUUAUUAAUACUGUCUGUGAGAUGAGAUACAGUAUACACUACACAGCUGGACCUGAGCUGGUGUUUCAUGAAUAUUUUUGCCAACUCGAAUUUUAUAUUUGAUUUUUAACCAUUAAUUUAAGCUGCAAUGUUCCAAAUAUACCUUAUUUUAUUGUUUUAUUCUGGCUAACGCAGACAAUUUUUAUCUAAUUUGCCCGUAAACCUCCGACUAUAAGCCCUGGGCUUAUAUACUUUCGUAAGCGAUUUUUGAGGGGCUUAUACAAGGGGGGGGGUUAUAUACGCGGGGGGCUAAUACAUGGAUGAUCUUUUGUGUUAGUAAUAAACAAAUCAGACAUAAACAAGUCAGACAUAAACAGGAAAAUAUACAUCCAUUAAUAACGUGCUUUGAUUAACAUAACAUAUAGUCGGCUAUAAAGACAAUGACAAUGUUUUUAAAUAUCGUUCUCUGCUAUAUUAAAAGACAAUGAAAAUGUUGAAUAACGUAGUGGGCUACUGGGCUUAUAUUCGGGGGACUUAUAUUUGGGGGGCUUAUAUUUGGGUGUGCUUAUGUUCGGGGGGGGGGGCUUAUAUUUGGAAUGAAUUGAGCAUUAGUAUAUGUGGUGGGCUUAUAUUCCGGGGGGCUUAUAUUCGGGGGGAGGGCUUAUAGUCGAGGGGGGCUUAUAGUCGGAGGUUUACGGUAUAAUGACAGAGAUAAUUUUACCUAUCAUUGGGCUAUCAAUGGGAGAGUCCUGAGUAUUAAUAUUUAAGAGUGAAAAUAUUGAUUAUGAUAUAAUGUUCACAUUAUAAAAUCCCCAAACAUAAUUCUCUUUCUCGACCAUGUUAAAAGAUACACUAAACCCAGGGACGCCGGAACUGGGGGGCGGCUGCCCCCCUUGCCUUUUGCUAGGGGGGACAGGGGGGCAGAAGUGCCCUUUUAGUUGUAAAAUACUACGUGACAAAUCAGAUUUCCAACGAUGCUUUUUGUAGGAAAAUCAUGAGAUUCAGGCAAUUUAUAGUAUAUAUUUGACUUUUGGUAUGUCCGGAAAAAAUUUUUGACCCCUGAAAUGGUACACUGACCGACAUUUUUUGGCGACGGGGAGGGGGGGGAGGUCUCCCAAAAAGUUCUCGAGGUCUCGAAAAAAAAUUUUCCGGUAGAUUUUGAAGUUUUGCUCUAUAGAGGAGCCCUUGGUGUGUGUCCGCCCCCCUUUGCCUUAGUAUCGUUCCGGCGUCCCUGACUAAACCUAAUAAGUUCUUAUUGCAACAGAUUCUCAUUUUAAAUGUAGCACUUGUUAAGGUGAGAUAGCACAUCUCUUAUCCAUCCAGGACAAAUGACCCAUUUGACACAGUUAAUUAACACUAUAAUGGGAGUAAUUUUUCUUUCUUAAAAUGGCAAUGUAUCGAUAUGAUUUUUCAAUGGCAAAAUGCAAUUGGACUGUACGGGCCAGUCUGUACCAGUGACUAAUUAUAUAGUUAAGCUAGGUGACACUUGCUCGAUGGCUUCCCUGUUAGAUACUGUACUCCUUUUGAAAAAUAUUAAUUGCUACAUGUAGUGUUAAGGUGAGAUCAUGGCACAUCUCUUAUCCGUCCUGGACAAAUGACCCAUUUGACACGGGGUAACAUUAUAAUGAAGUAGUUUUUCAUUCUUGAAAUGGCGAUGUAUUGGCAUGAUUUUUCAAUGGCAAAAUGGAAUUGAACUGUAACAGUGAUUAAUUAUAUAGUUAAGGGACACUUGCUCAAUGGCUACCCUCUGUUAUAUACUGUGCAUACUCCUUUUGAAGUAAUUAAAAUUGCUACAUGUAGUGUUAAGGUGAGAUGGCACAUCUCUUAUCCUAUCAUUGCAUGUGAUCAAUGCUUAUUUGUCUCAACAAAGAGAUGGUUUGCGCUCUAGCUGGCUAUCUCAUUGACAAUUAGAUAGCGAGUAGCGUAAAGCCAAUUAGAAUACAGCAUUUGCAUUAGAACUUGACAACAUUUAAAAUUACUAAAUAUAUAUACCAUAUAGACUAAUGUGAAAAUGAAUACUUUUAGGAUGACGACCCCAUUGUCCAUUGAUGAAGAAGUGAGGAAAUCAACCUAUAGCUAUCCUUGAAUCUUGGCAUCAGGUGACAUUGCAUCCUUGGACCCAUUGUACAUUGCUGCCGUGGGGCAAAUUUACUUGCAUUUUGCUGGUAAAAAUAUUCCACAUACUUUUUGCUACAUUCCAUGUUCUAAAUAUGGAAUACACUCCAGGUGUUUCGAGUGUUUAUGCAUUUCUAGAAUUUAGAAGCUGUCACCUUAAACCGCCCUGCUGAUGCCGAGAACAAAAUUUCUGUACAACAACUUUUAAGUGAGCUUG
rnacentral:lncRNA from 1 species